rnacentral:rRNA from 1 species
UGGGGAAUUUUGGACAAUGGGGGAAACCCUGAUCCAGCGAUGCCGCGUGUGUGAAGAAGGCCUUCGGGUUGUAAAGCACUGGUAGAGGGAAAGAAGCAUCAGCCGCUAAUAACGGUUUGGUGUUGACGUUACCCUCCCAUCAGCACCGGCUAACUCUGUGCCAGCAGCCGCGGUAAUACAGAGGGUGCAAGCGUUAAUCGGAAUGACUGGGCGUAAAGGGCGUGUAGGCGGCCUUGCAAGUGAUGCGUAAAAUCCCUUGGCUUAACCAAGGACGGUCGCAUCAAACGGCAAGGCUAGAGGAAUUCAAGAGGAACGUAGAAUUUCCGGUGUAGCGGUGAAAUGCAUAGAUAUCGGAAGGAAUACCAGCGGCGAAGGCGACGUUCUGGUGAUUCUCUGACGCUGAGGCGCGAAAGCAUGGGGAGCAAACAGG